rnacentral:rRNA from 1 species
GACGAACGCUGGCGGCGUGCUUAACACAUGCAAGUCGAGCGGAGCGGCGAACGGGUGAGUAACGCGUGAGUAACUGCCCCCAUCUCUGGGAUAAAAGUUGGAAACGGCUGCUAAUACCGGAUAGUGGGGGAUGACGCGCGUCCUAGCAGCUUGUUGGUGGGGUAGUGGCCUACCAAGGCGGCGACGGGUAGCCGGCCUGAGAUGGCGACCGGCCACAUGGGGCUGAGAUACGGGCCAAGAGCCUACGGGAUGCAGCAGUGGGGAAUAUGGCACAAUGGGGGAAACCCUGAUGCAGCAACGCGCGUGCGGGAUGACGGCCUUCGUGUUGUAACCCGCUUUCAGUCAUGACGCGGUAGUGGCAGAAGAAGCACCGGCUAACUACGUGCCAGCAGCCGCGGUAAUAC